UAACGGUCCUAAGGUAGCGAAAUUCCUUGUCGGGUAAGUUCCGACCUGCACGAAUGGCGUAAUGAUGGCCAGGCUGUCUCCACCCGAGACUCAGUGAAAUUGAACUCGCUGUGAAGAUGCAGUGUACCCGCGGCAAGACGGAAAGACCCCGUGAACCUUUACUAUAGCUUGACACUGAACAUUGAGCCUUGAUGUGUAGGAUAGGUGGGAGGCUUUGAAGUGUGGACGCCAGUCUGCAUGGAGCCGACCUUGAAAUACCACCCUUUAAUGUUUGAUGUUCUAACGUUGACCCGUAAUCCGGGUUGCGGACAGUGUCUGGUGGGUAGUUUGACUGGGGCGGUCUCCUCCUAAAGAGUAACGGAGGAGCACGAAGGUUGGCUAAUCCUGGUCGGACAUCAGGAGGUUAGUGCAAUGGCAUAAGCCAGCUUGACUGCGAGCGUGACGGCGCGAGCAGGUGCGAAAGCAGGUCAUAGUGAUCCGGUGGUUCUGAAUGGAAGGGCCAUCGCUCAACGGAUAAAAGGUACUCCGGGGAUAACAGGCUGAUACCGCCCAAGAGUUCAUAUCGACGGCGGUGUUUGGCACCUCGAUGUCGGCUCAUCACAUCCUGGGGCUGAAGUAGGUCCCAAGGGUAUGGCUGUUCGCCAUUUAAAGUGGUACGCGAGCUGGGUUUAGAACGUCGUGAGACAGUUCGGUCCCUAUCUGCCGUGGGCGCUGGAGAACUGAGGGGGGCUGCUCCUAGUACGAGAGGACCGGAGUGGACGCAUCACUGGUGUUCGGGUUGUCAUGCCAAUGGCACUGCCCGGUAGCUAAAUGCGGAAGAGAUAAGUGCUGAAAGCAUCUAAGCACGAAACUUGCCCCGAGAUGAGUUCUCCCUGACUCCUUGAGAGUCCUGAAGGAACGUUGAAGACGACGACGUUGAUAGGCCGGGUGUGUAAGCGCAGCGAUGCGUUGAGCUAACCGGUACUAAUGAACCGUGAGG
rnacentral:rRNA from 1 species